rnacentral:lncRNA from 1 species
GUUCCAGGGACGGGUCAGCUUGGGUCAGGUGCCCACCCCUUCACCAAUCAACUUGUCUCAGGUAAUGCAGUCACAUUAUAUAAUGGCUGCUCUGGUCAGUGAUCAUGUGGAUAGAUACAGCAUUUUCUCAAAAAAAUGGUCACAGAGGGGUGGGGGUGGGGCAAACAAAAAUAUUGGUGUUUGAUACAAGGUACUGAAGCUAAGGUGUGAAACCUUCCAUAUAUACUUUAAGGACUUCUUUGUCCCUGGAAAGUGAUUUUUCUGGGGCUCCUUAGGUAGAGAGGUGUAUUAAUGGUGCCAGUGUUAGGUGGGAUCGGGUAUGUGUUCACUUAAGCUUUACAUUAAAAAAAAAUUUAUAUGUGUAAAUAAAUAUAUAUGCCUUGUAGAAAAAUUAGCCAUAAUCUUACUACCAGAAGAGAACUACUGUUAACUUUGUGU